GUGCCUAACACAUGCAAGUCGCGCGAGAAAGCCCCUUCGGGGGUAAGUAAAGCGGCGGACGGGUGAGUAACGCGUGGACAACCUACCCCGGGGUUGGGGAUAACCCUGCGAAAGCGGGGCUAAUACCGAAUACGCUGUUCUUUUCCUGGGUGAUUUGUUUCACCGAGGAAGGGAAUGGGAAAGGUGGCCUCUGUAUCAAGCUACCGCCCCGGGAUGGGUUCGCGUCCCAUUAGCUUGUUGGUGGGGUCAAGGCCUACCAAGGCGACGAUGGGUAGCCGGCCUGAGAGGGUGAUCGGCCACACUGGGACUGGAACACGGCCCAGACUCCUACGGGAGGCAGCAGUGGGGAAUCUUGGGCAAUGGGCGCAAGCCUGACCCAGCGACGCCGCGUGUGGGACGAAGGCCUUCGGGUCGUAAACCACUGUCAGGAGGGAAGAAAAGCAGUUUCCGAACAGGGAGCUGUGUUGACGGUACCUCCAGAGGAAGCACCGGCCAACUCCGUGCCAGCAGCCGCGGUAAUACGGAGGGUGCAAGCGUUAUUCGGAAUUACUGGGCGUAAAGCGCGCGUAGGCGGCAGCGCAAGUCAGAUGUGAAAGCCCUCGGCUAAACCGAGGAAUUGCAUCUGAAACUGCGUAGCUAGAGUUCGGGAGAGGGUGGCGGAACUCCCGGUGUAGGGGUGAAAUCCGUAGAUAUCGGGAGGAACACCAGAGGCGAAGGCGGCCGCCUGG
rnacentral:rRNA from 1 species